UACGUAGGUGACAAGCGUUGUCCGGAUUUACUGGGCGUAAAGAGCGCGCAGGCGGUCGAUCAAGUCGAGUGUGAAAGCCCCCGGCUCAACUGGGGAGGGUCAUUCGAUACUGAUCGACUCGAAGGCAGGAGAGGGUAGUGGAAUUCCCGGUGUAGUGGUGAAAUGCGUAGAUAUCUGAAGGAACAUCAGUGGCGAAAGCGACUUCCUGGACCAAUACUGACGCUCAUGUGCGAAAGCGUGGGGAGCAAACAGG
rnacentral:rRNA from 1 species